rnacentral:rRNA from 1 species
GACGUAGGGCGCGAGCGUUGUCCGGAUUUAUUGGGCGUAAAGAGCUCGUAGGCGGCUUGUCGCGUCGACUGUGAAAACCCGCGGCUCAACUGCGGGCCUGCAGUCGAUACGGGCAGGCUAGAGUUCGGUAGGGGAGACUGGAAUUCCUGGUGUAGCGGUGAAAUGCGCAGAUAUCAGGAAGAACACCCGUGGCGAAGGCGGCUCUCUGGGACGGUACUGACGCUGAGACGCGAAAGCGUGGGGAGCGAACAGG